rnacentral:rRNA from 1 species
UGCGUAGGCGGACUUGUAAGUCAGGCGUGAAAACUAUCGGCUCAACCGAUAGCUUGCGUUUGAAACUGCGAGUCUUGAGUGGUGAAGAGGUAAGCGGAAUUCCUAGUGUAGCGGUGAAAUGCGUAGAUAUUAGGAGGAACACCAGUGGCGAAGGCGGCUUACUGGGCACUAACUGACGCUGAGGCACGAAAGCAUGGGGAGCAAACA